GACGAACGCUGGCGGCGUGCCUAAUACAUGCAAGUCGAACGAGAGCACCCGGUGCUUGCACUGGUCAAUCUAGUGGCGAACGGGUGAGUAACACGUGGGUAACCUGCUCAUCAGAGGGGGAUAACAUCCGGAAACGGAUGCUAAAACCGCAUAGGUCUUCGAACCGCAUGGUUUGAAGAGGAAAAGAGGCGCAAGCUUCUGCUGAUGGAUGGACCCGCGGUGCAUUAGCUAGUUGGUGAGGUAACGGCUCACCAAGGCCGUGAUGCAUAGCCGACCUGAGAGGGUGAUCGGCCACAUUGGAACUGAGACACGGCCCAAACUCCUACGGGAGGCAGCAGUAGGGAAUCUUCCGCAAUGGACGCAAGUCUGACGGAGCAACGCCGCGUGAGUGAAGAAGGUUUUCGGAUCGUAAAGCUCUGUUGUUGGAGAAGAACAAGUGCUAGAGUAACUGUUAGCGCCUUGACGGUAACUAACCAGAAAGCCACGGCUAACUACGUG
rnacentral:rRNA from 1 species